AGUGAACGCUGGCGGUAGGCCUAACACAUGCAAGUCGAACGGCAGCACAGUAAGAGCUUGCUCUUACGGGUGGCGAGUGGCGGACGGGUGAGGAAUACAUCGGAAUCUACUUUUUCGUGGGGGAUAACGUAGGGAAACUUACGCUAAUACCGCAUACGACCUACGGGUGAAAGCAGGGGAUCUUCGGACCUUGCGCGAUUGAAUGAGCCGAUGUCGGAUUAGCUAGUUGGCGGGGUAAAGGCCCACCAAGGCGACGAUCCGUAGCUGGUCUGAGAGGAUGAUCAGCCAGACUGGAACUGAGACACGGUCCAGACUCCGACGGGAGGCAGCAGUGGGGAAUAUUGGACAAUGGGCGCAAGCCUGAUCCAGCCAUACCGCGUGGGUGAAGAAGGCCGUCGGGUUGUAAAGCCGUUUUGUUGGGAAAGAAAAGCAGCAGGUUAAUACCCCGCUGUUCUGACGGUACCCAAAGAAUAAGCACCGGCUAACUUCGUG
rnacentral:rRNA from 1 species